rnacentral:lncRNA from 1 species
GGAGAAGACCGACUGGUCCAAGGCUCCAUUUGUGGCUUCGUACAAGAGUUUCCACGUGGAUGGGUGUGAGGCUUCAGUGGAAGCCAAAUUUUGUGCGACCCAGGGCAAGAGAUGGUGGGACCAAAGGGAAUUUCAAGAUCUCGACUCCCUUCAGUACAGGAGACUCGCCUGGGUCCGCCAGAAAUACACCAUCUACAACUACUGCACUGACCGAGUUAGAUACCCCACCAUGCCACCUGAAUGCAAGAGAGACAGAGACGUUUAGACCCUUCUACUAAUACUAAUACUAAUACCACUGCUACUACUAUUAUCUCUCUCGCUUAUUGCUUUGUUCCAUUCAUAGUUCUUUGGGAUUUGCCUCUUAUUACUAUGCUCUCAUCUUCAU